rnacentral:rRNA from 1 species
GAUGAACGCUGGCGGCGUGCCUAAUACAUGCAAGUCGAGCGAACGGACGAGAAGCUUGCUUCUCUGAUGUUAGCGGCGGACGGGUGAGUAACACGUGGAUAACCUACCUAUAAGACUGGGAUAACUUCGGGAAACCGGAGCUAAUACCGGAUAAUAUUUUGAACCGCAUGGUUCAAAAGCGAAAGACGGUCUUGCUGUCACUUAUAGAUGGAUCCGCGCUGCAUUAGCUAGUUGGUAAGGUAACGGCUUACCAAGGCAACGAUGCAUAGCCGACCUGAGAGGGUGAUCGGCCACACUGGAACUGAGACACGGUCCAGACUCCUACGGGAGGCAGCAGUAGGGAAUCUUCCGCAAUGGGCGAAAGCCUGACGGAGCAACGCCGCGUGAGUGAUGAAGGUCUUCGGAUCGUAAAACUCUGUUAUUAGGGAAGAACAUAUGUGUAAGUAACUGUGCACAUCUUGACGGUACCUAAUCAGAAAGCCACGGCUAACUACGUGCCAGCAGCCGCGGUAAUACGUAGGUGGCAAGCGUUAUCCGGAAUUAUUGGGCGUAAAGCGCGCGUAGGCGGUUUUUUAAGUCUGAUGUGAAAGCCCACGGCUCAACCGUGGAGGGUCAUUGGAAACUGGAAAACUUGAGUGCAGAAGAGGAAAGUGGAAUUCCAUGUGUAGCGGUGAAAUGCGCAGAGAUAUGGAGGAACACCAGUGGCGAAGGCGACUUUCUGGUCUGUAACUGACGCUGAUGUGCGAAAGCGUGGGGAUCAAACAGG